GUGGCCGUAGCUCAGUUGGUAGAGCCCCUGAUUGUGGUUCAGGUUGUCGCGGGUUCAAGUCCCGUCGGUCGCCCCA
rnacentral:tRNA from 1 species